AUAAUAGGUUUUGACGCGUAUCCUGUAGCCCCUUCAAUUUCGUGUGCCUUCGUGUGACAGCAUCGGUUUGACUUCUGAUGCGUUUACAAACCAGUUAAAGAUUCUAUUAAACAAAUGACAGGAUUUCAAGCACGGCUGUCUCUAAUUUACGACGCAGUUCCUACACGCCGUAAUUAAAUUUAGUUUCGGAAUGUCUAUAUAGAGUCCGAAGCGCACUGCAUCCUUACGAAAGACUUUUGCACAUCGUACAUCGUGAUAACAGUAUAUCGGCGCCAGGACUUAAACAUGACUACUAAAGGUGUGGUGCUUAUCGGGGUACUAUUGGUUAUGGUGGCGAGUCUUUGUCAGAGGACCGAAGGGCUCACUUCUGGGCUUAUCAAGGGGUCAGGAAAACGACAUGUUCAAAGAGGAGAGUAUGAGCGUGAAAUCGCUAAUGCUGCCGUGGACAACCUGUGCCAAGUUGCGAGAGACCUCGGCUGCGAUAGAAGAAGAUAACAGAACGCGACAAGAAUACCAAGGACAUUUUUAUGAUCCAUUAAAAGUCAUGAUUGAACUCUUAUCACGCAAAUCAAGCACUAGCUGAAUUGGAUGUUCUGGACAUCUGUACAAUUGAACUUAUAUUUAUGGCUACAAAGAUGUAUUUCAAACUAUGAACCCUUGAACUCUUCCUGUGAACAAACUUUCGGUUCUCCAUAUACUUUGUACAGCUAUUAAGAAUAAAUUUGCACUCUGAGGAACUA